AUAUCACGUGAUCUACAUACAACAACAACAGGACAAUAAUAACAAAAAUGGCGGAGACGCAGACGAACAUUGUGAAAAAUCCGUGUUUAUUGUGUAGCAAAACCCAGCAUUUUAAUUUAUAUAGUGGAAUUCACUCAUCUUCAUUAAUUAGUAAAAUUUCAUGUUUGGUACAAGUCGAUGUUCAACGUUGUAUUGAUAAAAGGUCUGGUGUCUGCAAGUCUUGCCAUCUGAAAAUAAACUCUUCUUUUGAAUUUGUACAAUUAAUAAAAGAAAAACUUAGCAUUAAUGAAGGCGUUCAAAACGCAGAAAAGCGUGGGGCUAGCAGUCCAAUUACUCCCCAGUUACAAAAAACUGUAAAGGCUCCGAAAACAAAUUUGGGACCUGAAAGUGAGUCUGAAUCAGAAACUGUACUUGAUGAUGAAGAAAAAAGUAAUGACGAUCAUCAUUAUUCAAGACCCUUGAAUGUUCGUUUAAAUACACCAUCUAAAAGAUUUCAAUAUUGUCACCCAGUAGAAGAUGAGACCGUAGUUGCUGAUAUUCAGUCAAAUUCUACAGUUCCAGAAAACAUUGCAAACAAGCAGAGUUCUCGUCCCUUCUUCACCAUACACCUCUGAAAUGGGCUCAGUGACAAGAAUCUUGUCAAAACUAAAAAAAAUAUUUUAUCCUCCUAAAUGAGUUUAAUAUGAAUUAAACCUGGCAUAAAUAUACAAAUAAUUUACCUAAAAAGUUCCAAACUUUGAAAUAUAAUGAUUGUAUUUACAUAUUUUAUACAAAGACCUAUAGAUAACAUAUAGUUAUCUAUAGGUCUUUGUUUUAUGCAAUAAGUCUAUUUUUCUCGUAAAUAUUUUAAAAGUGUAAUAUAUGACAGCCAAAAAUUGCUGAAUUCUUCAUUUCUGCCCUUGUGUUUCAAGAGAGAAUACUUUCCAUCCAAAUGGAGAGAGAUCUGGGUUCAUAUCCCAGUAGGGGCUUAAGAUGAUGCAUGCAAUAUUUUGUUGUUUUAUUUUCUAAUAACAAUAAAUUAAUGAUAAAGAAAUUAAUUUAGUAAGAGUUUUAACAUGUAAUAAUACUAUAGUAUUCAUAUAAUGAGUGGAUUUUAGAAUUAGUCAUGUCUUGAGUUUGUUUGUCAUUAUGAACAUUUUGUCUUAUAUCAAAUUUUUAUAAGUGACAUAAUACUUAAAUUUAGAUUUGAUAAAAGAAUAUUAUGUUUAUAAUUAGGUGCUACGAAAAGCUGUUCAGGAUCUGAUUUUGAAGGAGAUCGAGGAUGAGGUUUUCCUACUUUCAUCCAGAAAUGUUGCCUUGUCUAGUGUUCUUAUUCGAUAUCGCAGCAUUGAAAGCUUGUUUGAGAAUGGAGAACAUCUGAUCAAGGAGAUCAUUAGUGAAAUGUCAGAAAGCUCACCUGAGCACAUAGCGCUCAUGAGGAUCAUUUUGGAUACAGUGUUGUCUGUCGUCUGUCUGUGCAUGUGUAAUGUGCGCUAGUUAACUUUUUUGGCAUGAACUAAUGUCUAGUGGGCCUCUACAAAGAUUGUUCAAAUUACGAGCCUGGGGCCAAAUGUGCAGAGGGGCCCAAUGUUAUUUUCCCUGUAUGUAUGUAGUUAAAACUAAAAAAAUCUGCACUUAAACCACAGGCUUACCCUGAGAUAUUUGGUUUAAACAUUGUUUAUUUGGCCUCUACAAAGAUUGAUCAAAUAAUUGACCUGGGGUCAAAAUUAGCCCAAUUUAUUUAUUUUUAAUUAAUUAAUUUUUUUAUUUAAUGAUUUAUUUUUAUAUAUUUAUAUAA